CGCUGCGGGUUUUUGUUGUGUCACGUGACGUAGCAGGUGGCAGCAGAACGCAACGCACGACGGGAUCGGGUUGGGCAUGAGAUCGCCGUGUGACAGGUGGCCAGAUUGUGAUGGCGCACGGUGAGAAGUGACAGUGUUGGCUCGGAGACCACGAAGAACCCUGUGCGUCUCCCCGGAGUGGCUGGACGGCGGGAUGCUCUGCAAUGAAAAAGCUUCGCCGCCGCCUCUCGUCAACUCUCAACCCGUUGCGCUUCCGCAGCGAUGAGGGCCUCUCGGAACUCUCGGGUCAGCUAUCCAUCCAGGAGAAUGGCUCCGACCCUGGGAGCCACACUGGCUCAAGGUUGAGCCUGUUCUCUCGUGCAACGCAACGCUUCUCCAUCUCCUCAUCGAGGAUUCCUGACCUUCGUUCCCCACUCACAGG